rnacentral:rRNA from 1 species
UACGUAGGGUGCAAGCGUUAAUCGGAAUUACUGGGCGUAAAGCGUGCGCAGGCGGCUCCUUAAGUCAGAUGUGAAAGCCCCGGGCUUAACCUGGGAACUGCGUUUGAAACUGGGGAGCUAGAGUGUAGAAGAGGGGGGUGGAAUUCCAGGUGUAGCAGUGAAAUGCGUAGAGAUCUGGAGGAACACCGAUGGCGAAGGCAGCCCCCUGGGCUAACACUGACGCUCAUGCACGAAAGCGUGGGGAGCAAACAGG